rnacentral:misc_RNA from 1 species
UUUCCGUAGGUGAACCUGCGGAAGGAUCAUUACCAAUAUAGCGAACCGAGCGUUAGCGAGGCUUCGCGAUCAAAUUGUAUUUAAAACCCAACUCUUUAAAUGUAUAUAUUAUUAUGUAUUUUAAAUAAUAAAAAGAUCACUUUCAACAACGGAUCUCUUGGCUCUC